GGGGAAUAUUGGACAAUGGGGGGAACCCUGAUCCAGCAAUGCCGCGUGUGUGAAGAAGGCCUGAGGGUUGUAAAGCACUUUCAGUGGGGAGGAGGUUUGACAGGUUAAGAGCUAGUUAGAUGGACGUUACCCACAGAAGAAGCACCGGCUAACUCCGUGCCAGCAGCCGCGGUAAUACGGAGGGUGCAAGCGUUAAUCGGAAUUACUGGGCGUAAAGAGUGCGUAGGUGGUUAAUUAAGUUAUCUGUGAAAUCCCUGGGCUCAACCUGGGCAGGUCAGAUGAUACUGAUUGACUCGAGUACGGGAGAGGGUAGUGGAAUUUCCGGUGUAGCGGUGAAAUGCGUAGAGAUCGGAAGGAACACCAGUGGCGAAGGCGGCUACCUGGCCUGAUACUGACACUGAGGCACGAAAGCGUGGGGAGCAAAC
rnacentral:rRNA from 1 species